ensembl:snoRNA
AUCCUUUUGUACUUCAUGAGCAUGAUGAUUGGGUUUUCAUGCACGUGCAUGACAUGUGCCUCCCACAAAUCUUUUUAUGAUGUCGGCUCAUUACCCGUCUGACA